UUCCUUCAUCAGACAGGUAAUGAGAGCGUCAGCAACUUGAAAAUAACAAGUUCUCCUGACACUUUGGUUGACUACAAUCAAAAUGUCAUAUUGAUGGAAAGAGGAACCGAAUCACUAUCCAGCACCGCACUUGCUUAUGAAUGGAAAUGUAAAGGAAAUUGUACGUGCAGAAAUGUAACAAAGGAAAAAACUCAUGCUGUUGAAAAGAAUUGCCUUCCAAAGCCUUUUGAAAUGAUUGAAUACAUCUUGACUGUGAGGAAAAGAACUUGGUUUAGGAAGUGGGUCAGCAUUGCUUCAGCAUCAAAGUGCAUCACUGUUACUCCUUCAAAUGUUUUAGCUGGUGUAACAAUCAGGUAAAAAUUUUAAAUGCCCAAUACCUUAAAAAAAUAUUCUAAACUAAAUGCAUUUUAAAACAAUAUUGACAAUUUAGAAAUUGCAUGUACAUGUUUUAAUUUAUAAUUAGUAAAUUGACUUAAAUGUUUACCUUUGUUCUUACAGUUGUGAUAAUUGUGCUUCAAUAAAUGCAAAGGACCAAGCAAAAUUAAGACUCAGGUGUAAAACAGUCUGUCCAGAUGUGGUUUGGUUUAUGGAAGAUCCUGAGCCUUUGAGCGUGAGUCCAAUGCAAUAUUUGACAUUUAAAAAUUAGGCCUUUUUGAGUCAAAGCAUUAAAUGAUCAUCUUUCCUCAGGGGGACCUCGCUGAAUGCUACUUUAAAGCAGGAAGAAGGCCACCUAUUGAGUUGCAGGAUGGUCUCAGUGAAUAUGUUGUUCCCAGUCGAUAUCUUGAAGCCUCAAGAAGGAUGCUGCACAACAUCAGUGUUAUUGUUUAUGGUUUGUCUUCACUGCAAUUUUUGCAUCUAACUCCCAAAUCUAAUGUUGAAUGUUUUGAAUUUUAACCCAGUUUCUUUCUAACUUUUUGUUUGUUUUGGAAUCAGGAAAGACAGUAUCAGGCUUUGUCAAAUACACUCUUCCAGUGCCAGGUUUUGACUCAAAAGUGACCCCUGAUCCCGACGCUGUCCCCUCGUGUAGCGUCUCUCCACCAUCAGGAACUGUGCUUCAAACGUUUGACAUAACCUGUGAGGCAAAAUCUUUCUGUGAAGUCGGUUGUCUUUACUGCUUCAAGACUAGCGCAGGUGAUGCUAUUUUUUUAAAGGUUAAAAAACAGCUCUCAUUCAAAAAUCAAAGACUUUGUAAGUGAAUAAUUUGUUUUGACAGCUCUGAAGUAACUUUCACUUUGGGUUUAAAGGGAAAGAUUUGUGGUGCACUAAUGCAAAUAAGGUGAAAUCCGUGUUCUUGCCUUCUGGAGACCAGACAAACAACGACACAUUGACUUUGAUGGUGACGGUGAAAAAUGAACACAUUACAGUUAAUACAAGUGUAACAGCUCAGGUUAGUGGCGAGGCACUUAUUUUCCCAAAUAAAGAUCAGUGGCUGGAAAGGCUAAAACUCUGAAUUUUUGUUCAGGUACGAAAAAGUAACACCAGCACCUCAGUAAGAGUUUUGGAGUCUGCAGUGGAGAAAACUGUGAGUCAGUUAGAAGAGCAAGGCUUGCUGUCCUCUGAAGCACUCGGACAAAUAUUCACCUCUGUCUCUGAUAUCCUGAACUCAGAAUGGGGCCAAGAUCAGAAAGACAACAGGUCUAAGGUGAGAAUACAGAGUCGUGACCAGGCUGGCUGGCACACCACAUGCCUUUUGGAUGUGUAGAGCUUCAUUAUUUUUCUUU
ensembl:lncRNA